rnacentral:rRNA from 1 species
AAGGAAUAUUGGUCAAUGGGCGGAAGCCUGAACCAGCCAUGCCGCGUGCAGGAAGACGGCCCUACGGGUUGUAAACUGCUUUUGUACUGGAAUAAACCUUGGUAUGUAUACUAAGCUGAAUGUACAGUAAGAAUAAGGAUCGGCUAACUCCGUGCCAGCAGCCGCGGUAAUACGGAGGAUCCGAGCGUUAUCCGGAUUUAUUGGGUUUAAAGGGUGCGUAGGCGGCCUUGUAAGUCAGGGGUGAAAGACGGUAGCUCAACUAUCGCAGUGCCUUUGAUACUGCAGGGCUUGAAUGUACUUGAGGUAGGCGGAAUGUGACAAGUAGCGGUGAAAUGCAUAGAUAUGUCACAGAACACCAAUUGCGAAGGCAGCUUACUAAAGUAUGAUCGACGCUGAGGCACGAAAGCGUGGGGAUCAAA